rnacentral:rRNA from 1 species
ACGUAUUAACAGAAGUCACGGCUAGCUACGUGCCAGCAGCCGCGGUAAUACGUAGGUGGCAAGCGUUAAUCCGGAUUUAUUGGGCGUAAAGAGAGUGCAGGCGGUUUUCUAAGUCUGAUGUGAAAGCCUUCGGCUUAACCGGAGAAGUGCAUCGGAAACUGGAUAACUUGAGUGCAGAAGAGGGUAGUGGAACUCCAUGUGUAGCGGUGGAAUGCGUAGAUAUAUGGAAGAACACCAGUGGCGAAGGCGGCUACCUGGUCUGCAACUGACGCUGAGACUCGAAAGCAUGGGUACGCGAACAGGAUUAGAUACCCUGGUAG